rnacentral:lncRNA from 1 species
GGUUGGUGGAUUGAGAUAUGUGGUUUCAUUAACAUUUGGAGGACUAUGGGAUGGCUGGCCACCUUGGAUCGGGUGAUGUUUUUAUUGCCUGGCAAAGAAGCGGAAUGGUCAAUGCUAUGUUGAUAGUCUCAUGGAAUGUUCGAGGGACGGGAUCACUUGAAAAGCAAAGAGCCAUCAGAGAUCUCAUUUCCAGCUCAAACUGUGAUAUUAUUUUGAUCCAAGAGGCGAAGGUGGUGGCACCCUCAUCCAAUUUUUUUGUUUCUAUGGGUGGUGCGAAGCUAGAUGAAUGGUGUUGUU